AGUUAUAAACCCAAGAAAAGUAGUCAGACCUUGCUGCUUGGGAAUGCUGGAGCACCACUAGGAGGGAAGUUCUGCUAUGACUCCAUGGUGGCCAGAGCUUCAGCCCUGCAGCCAGCAAGAGCCAGCUCCCCCAGUGCUCAUCACUUGCCUUCCGACCCCGUCUGUGACACGAAGCCACUGAGAUGCUGAUGGUGAUGAAGAGCUGUGCUGCAUCCCCAGAGCCGCAACCUCUGAGUGCCAAAGCACAUCUGCCAUGUGUUAGCAGCUGAAGCAACCUCUGCACCUUCUGGGAUCCCCUUCCAUCCCUCAGCCCUGAGCCCGGGGAGGGGCAGCUCCAGCCCUGCAGGUUGUCCAAGAGCCAGCGAGGGCUGGGGGGGCUGCGCAGCUCCAGGAGAGACGUUCUGCCAACCGUCUCGUUCUUAUCCUCCCUAAAGGAGUUUGGAGGAUUAGGGAUGAGAAGCAAUCUGAGAAGGAAAGAUGUCAGCCAAUUUUCAAAGGGAUCUGCAGAAAGGGAAGCACUCCCACAGCUGUCAGAUGGGAAAUCAGCUUUUAGCCCACCGAUUCACAUGCUGCAAAGCGCUCAUCCUGCCAGCUCCUGCUCUUCACAUCCCACUGCACAAGUUCUGCAAAGUCCUGCUAUUGCUGAGAAACCUUUUUUCCUUGCAAACCGCUGCUGGAGUUGGUGAGGUUGCUGCAAAAACCCACAACUUGCAUCCAACAUGCUGGGGGUGAGCUGGGAUCCUUCCCAGGCCAGGACUGCAGUGUUCUGUGUGCAUUGCCUUGUGCUGGGUGGCUGCUUCAUUUCACUUAACCUCUCCCAGAGGUAGGAAAGGAUUCAAAACUGUAGGGCGCUCUGCUGCUUUCAAGCCAUUAAGUGUCCUGACUAUAAUUGCUCUGAAUUAGAUUCAAGUCAUUCCCUAAAGACAUCUAUUCCAUAGUAUGCCUGGCCAUGGGGCAAUGUCCUCCAUGGGAUGUUUGGGCUGCAGCCACCAAGGCUCGCUCUUCUCUAGAGAUGGCCAUAUUCACCACUGGAGCUCAUCCUACACACAUCCAGGGCUAAGUGAGCACUUGGGGAUGUCCUUCUCCAUUUGGGGGUAACGCAGCUCAUCCAUGUCCUCUGCUCACACACAGCUGAGGCAAUCUUUGUCCCUUCUUCAGGCACUUACAUUUCUAAUUCCAGGGGCUUUGGCACAUGGGGGGUUGGGACAAAAACCUGAUCUGCUGUGUCGCUGCUGUAGGGAAGGGGGUUUGGUGCAGAUUGGGGGUUGCAUGGACAGCAUUUGGUGCAGCUUGGGAGCUGCAGGGAUAGGAUUUGGUGCAAAUUGAGGCUUUGGUGCUUGCCUAGCACAGGAGGGCUUUGUGCUGGGGGAGGCGGAG
rnacentral:lncRNA from 1 species